UACGUAGGGGGCAAGCGUUGUCCGGAAUCAUUGGGCGUAAAGCGCGCGUAGGCGGCCCGGUAAGUCCGCUCUGAAAGUCCAAGGCUCAACCUUGGGAUGCGGGUGGAUACUGCCGGGCUAGAGUCCGGAAGAGGCGAGUGGAAUUCCUGGUGUAGCGGUGGAAUGCGCAGAUAUCAGGAAGAACACCAAUGGCGAAAGCAGCUCUCUGGGACGGUACUGACGCUGAGACGCGAAAGCGUGGGGAGCGAACAGG
rnacentral:rRNA from 1 species